AUCGAACGCUGGCGGCAGGCUUAACACAUGCAAGUCGAACGAGUGGCGGACGGGUGAGUAAUGCUUGGGAAUCUAGCUUCUGGAGGGGGAUAACUACGGGAAACUGUAGCUAAUACCGCUUACCAUAGGAUGAGCCCUAGGGGGAUUAGGUAGUUGGUGAGGUAAAGGCUCACCAAGCCGACGAUAUCUAGCUGGUCUGAGAGGAUGACCAGCCAAACUGGGACGGAGACACGGCCCAGACUCCUACGGGAGGCAGCAGUGGGGAAUAUUGCGCAAUGGGGGCAACCUGACGCAGCCAUGCCGCGUGAAUGAAGAAGGCCUUCGGAUUGUAAAGUUCUGUCGGUAGCGAGGCGUUAACUACAGAAGAAGCAACGGCUAACUCCGUGCCAGCAGCCGCGGUAAUUC
rnacentral:rRNA from 1 species